rnacentral:rRNA from 1 species
AUGAACGCUGCCGGCGUGCCUAAUCCAUGCCAGUCGAGCGAACGGACGAGAAGCUUGCUUCUCUGAUGUUAGCGGCGGACGGGUGAGUAACACGUGGAUAACCUACCUAUAAGACUGGGAUAACUUCGGGAAACCGGAGCUAAUACCGGAUAAUAUUUUGAACCGCAUGGUUCAAAAGUGAAAGACGGUCUUGCUGUCACUUAUAGAUGGAUCCGCGCUGCAUUAGCUAGUUGGUAAGGUAACGGCUUACCAAGGCAACGAUGCAUAGCCGACCUGAGAGGGUGAUCGGCCACACUGGAACUGGGACACGGUCCAGACUCCUACGGGAGGCAGCAGUAGGGAAUCUUCCGCAAUGGGCGAAAGCCUGACGGAGCAACGCCGCGUGAGUGAUGAAGGUCUUCGGAUCGUAAAACUCUGUUAUUAGGGAAGAACAUAUGUGUAAGUAACUGUGCACAUCUUGACGGUACCUAAUCAGAAAGCCACGGCUAACUACGUG